UUGAUUCGUCAUCAGCAUUAUCAGAGGUAAAGCAAAAGGGAGUAUUAACAGAUGUUCAGCAAAAUGGAGGAGAUGAGGUGCAUUUUUUUUAAGAGAAAUGUUGGAAACAACCUACUGAAGAAAGGCUAAGACUCCUACAUCAGAUUACCAAUGCACUUUGUCAUAAAUAUUUCAGAAUGCCUAUGAGAAAAAGAAUAAAGCUAAAUCAAGUCCAGAAU